GCGUAAUCAUCUGCCCCUUAAUUAGAGGCCCGUAUCAACGGACAAACGAGAAUAUUCCUGUCUCUUUCUUACUCCUACAAACUUAUCUCCAGGUGCAAAAGCCUGAAUCCCUAUAAAAGACAAAAAGUCCUCGUCGAGCUUUAACUCCAGUAAAUCUAGCUAAUCCCCCCAGAAUGUCCCCCCUUACAGCAGUUUUUGUUGGGGCAACAAUGGUGACCUCUAACCGCCAUAUUACAUCCGAGACUCCUAGUCUUCUCCUAGACCCUCAAGCGCUCUCAGGCACCAGCUACCGCAGGGAUAACAGACUAAUUCCCCACAAGAGCCCAAAUCCACUGGGGAGCUUGG
rnacentral:rRNA from 1 species